GAAUGGGGAUGAAGGAAGACCUCCAAAGAAAAUAGUUGGUUCUGGUGAGGUAGACUGGCAGAAGUUCGGCUACAGCUUGGGUCUCAGUGAGAGGUAGGAAGUUUGGAGAUGAUGAUGGGUUGGUGACUAUAGGCUCUGAACCAGUAUUAUGGGAUUCUUCUGCCAUGGUCAAUCAAUCGGAUUGGUCUGCACACGAAAACAUAAAAUUUGUUAUUCAUGCAUGUAAAUUCACAAGUUCAUAACCAAGAACAUAAGAACCAGCCAACACACAGGAAUUUCAUCAAUAAUCAAUCAACUGGAAAUUAUUUCAUAAACUAGAGUUUACUCCUCCCGAGCUAACCUGGAGAAGAUUAGAAACACAUUGGUUUAAUUAUUAGAGAGAAAUCAACAGAAAUAAAGGCAUUAUACAUGGAAGAAUAGAGAAGAGGAAAACCUGAGGUACGAAUCUAUCUAUGUUCUUCACCGUCUGUCGAAUUCUGUUGUGGUUCCUUGAAUCUUAAGUCGUACGUCCUUUUUAUAGUGAUUUCUUGCGGAGUACUCCUUGUAUGCAUGGAGCUAUAAUUCUUGUACUUCUCGUAUUCUAUCUCUUAUAUUUCCUGGAUUCCUAUGCAACUACGAUUCUUAUGUUUAGGAGAACUUUUAUUUGUACGUACCACAUUUAAACUGUUCGCACUUUAUUUUAUUUUAUUAUUAUUAUUAUUUUAAUAAAAGUAGCUCUUUACCAUAGUGGUGAAAAGAUGUUGUGUCAUUACAUAACAGUGUGGAUUCGAACCCCGUUGGUGACUAAUCUAAUACCUAACUUACUAAUGCUAUUGCUCGACUCAAAAAAAAAAAAAAAAAAACUAUUUUAGCCACAUGCAAUGCAUGUACUUAAUUUAAUUAUCAGAAACUCAUUUCCGCAAAAAGAAGAAAAUUAGUAGUUGCAGAUAUAAAGUAGGGAAAAACCAAUCUUUCAAUAUUAAAGAGUCCUUUUUCUAGUACUGUUUUUCUUAUCGUCCAAGCGAAAGUAGACAAAUCCUUACCCAACUCCCCCUGCAUCUCAUUAUACCUAUACUAAAACCAUUGCUCUUGGUUCUGUAAUUUUGUCCUCCUUUGUACAGCGAAAGGAUGACUUCGUCCUCACUCUACACGCGUUCUUUAUCGCGGCCUUUUCUGUUCCAUUUCUCUGCUGUUUUGUUCUCUACCUUUCGUUUUGCUUUUCUGUCGCCAUUUCCUGCAAUCGAUUUUUUUUUUCUACCCCACAUCUACACGUGUUGGUCAUCGGGGAAAAGAAAGCGGUGGAAAGGCGAGGAAAGCAGUCGGAAAAGCUCAUUUGUUUCUAUUCACUGAUCUCAGAAGGGGUAUCCCUUCCAUUCGCCAUUCUCGAGUUCUCUUGAUGGCAUCUUCUCUACCCUAUCUUCUGCAAUUUGCUCCACCGCGGCAAUACCUUUUGUGCUUUCUUCCACCCCAUAGAACCCGCUCGAUUUAGAUUCUGGGUCUUGUGAUUUUUGAUAAUCUUCCAUGGUAACUAACUUUUGUUUGUUUUGGUUGGUCUAAAUUUCAAAUUUUUUGUUUUGGCUUGCUGCACAUGAUAUGAGAUUUGUUGAUGCACAAAACCAGAGGUCUUGGAACAACGUGAAUCUGCAAGUAAUGUAAAUGACACAAGAUGUAUCGUGGUUCACCCCAAGGUUUGGGCUACGUCCACACUGAUUGUAUUGUAUUUCUCUGAGAAGUGAGGGAGAGAGUGUGAGAGCUUUUUUCUAGAUAGGAGAGGCUUAAGGUUUGUGAGGGUGAGGAGGCCAUUUUAUAGAAUAAGGGCUCAUCCCCUAAUUACAUAUUUGCCCCUUCCUUUAUUACAUAAUUACAUUUAAGUCCCCCCAGUAUUCAUACGAGGUCUAAAUAUGAGGCCCUAAAUAUGGUAUAAACAGUAGUCCCCCAAGUCUUCAGUCAAGAGAGUCUUUUGGCUGGAGACUUGAAAUUCAGUCCAUGUAUGGGCCGAAGUAACUAGAUGUUGUCUUGAACUGAUGCUCGAUAUGAGGCAGUGCUCAAUUUGAAAUGACGCUCAACUAGAAGUAGCACAUGCUGCGAGGUUGCUCGGCUCGUGGCUUAUGUUGCCUUGGUUGGCUCGGCUUGCGGCGUUUGAAGGUGAGGGGGUCCCUUUUAUAGAAUAAGGGCUCGCUCCUCAAAUACAUAAAUGAUGGGCUAGAAGUGAUGCUCGCGGCGAGGCGGUUGCUCAGCUAGUGGUGUUGCUCUCUAAUGAUGGUGAGGGAGUCCCUUUUAUAGAAUAAGGGUUCGAUCCUCAAUACAUAAACAAUGAGUGUUCUCUAAUGAAAGUGAGGGAGUCCCUUUUAUAGAAUAAGGGCUCGCUCCUCAAUACAUAAGUAAUGGGCUAAGUCCCCUAAGUAUUUUUCAUGAGGCCCAAUAUAUGGUACAUAAUGUAGUCCCCCAAGUCUUCGGUCAAUAGAGUCUAUUGGCUGGAGACUUCAAAUUGAAUCCAUGUAUGGGCCGAAGUGGUGGUUGUUCAGAGGCAGUAUUUGUAUACCCUGCACUGAAGCUUUGUAGGUGAAGCUUUGCAAGUGAAACUUUGAAGCUAGAGCUCUGUAAAUGAAGCUUUUGAAGCUGAUUGACAUGAGU
rnacentral:lncRNA from 1 species